AAAUUGGAUUUUUUUUUUUAGUUUACCAGUGGUGGCGGACUUGUUGGACCGUGGGAACACGGCGUCCCUCUUUCAUUCCUUCAACCAGCUUCUUGAAAAGUUCGGCGUAGCGAUGUGUGCGCAUAUCCAAAAACCUGUUGAUAUCCAAGUCUUUGAUAUUGGUUAAAAGUAGCUGUGUUUCUCUUUCUUAUCAGGC